rnacentral:rRNA from 1 species
GACGAACGCUGGCGGCGUGCCUAACACAUGCAAGUCGAGCGAUGAAACCCUUCGGGGUGGAUUAGCGGCGGACGGGUGAGUAACACGUGGGUAACCUGCCUCAAAGAGGGGGAUAGCCUCCCGAAAGGGGGACUACUACCGCAUAACAUUAGUUUUUCGCACGAAGAACUAAUUAAAGGAGUAAUCCGCUUUGAGAUGGACCCGCGGCGCAGUAGCUAGUUGGUGAGGUAAAGGCUCACCAAGGCGACGAUGAGUAGCCGACCUGAGAGGGUGAUCGGCCACAGUGGAACUGAGACACGGUCCAGACUCCUACGGGAGGCAGCAGUGGGGAAUAUUGCACAAUGGGCGAAAGCCUGAUGCAGCAACGCCGCGUGAGUGAUGAAGGCCUUCGGGUUGUAAAGCUCCGUCUUUUGGGACGAUAAUGACGGGACCAAAGGAGGAAGCCACGGCUAACUACGUGCCAGCCGCCGCGGUAA